UCAAGCGUUCCUAUUUCAACAGGCCUGAAGAGAACUGCGAGACACACCAGGGCUCCCCUUAAGAAGUGCCCUCUCCUCUCUUUGACCCUUCAUGGAUCCAGACAAUUCAACAACUCAAACACCCGAACAGAAGAUGACAGGAGGCGGGAGUCCCGCAGGAGGACGGCACUUCAGCACCAGGGACACCCCCUUCUGCACGACGGUGCCUUCGUUUCUCUCCUUCGGCCACAAGGGGGACCCUGUGAGUCACGAAACAGACACACAAACGUCCACCACUAAGGAGCCUCGUCUGCCAUGUUGUUGCCUGUAAACAUCCAGCAUGUGAGGGCAUCCAGCCGGAAAACAUCACACGCACAAGCGGGAUACAUUUGGCGAGCGUUGGUCGCGUGCCGUGGAGAUCGAGUUACUCACAAACGCACUAGUGGAUCGUCAAAGGACGGGUCACUAAUGCGCAUGACGAAGUAAAUGGCCCAUGGACAUCUGGAAUUAUGUGUGCUUGGUUGUUCCUCUAAUCUGCUUGUAAACUGGCGCAUGUUCAUCAGACAGCUUUGAUUAAUCAGUGCGUUUCAUGAAUCUGCAAUAAAUACAAAUACUGAAACGGAUGGUGCUUCUUAAAAGUGUUUCUGGGAAUUGAUAAGAUCAAAUGUUACGUGGCAGUGAGUUGUCCAGGAUGUAUGCUGUCUUUUUUUUUUUUUUUUCAAUAUGUUGUAGAUUUGGCUUUGGAUUGCCAUUACUGGUAAUAAGAUGAUGGAGAAAAAAGCCUUUUUGAAGUUCCUGGAAACAUUAUCUUAAAGUGUGUUCUGGGUUAAAGGAAAUGCUC